UACAGAGGGUGCAAGCGUUGUCCGGAUUUAUUGGGCGUAAAGAGCGUGUAGGCGGCCAUACAGGUCAGCUGUGAAAACUCGAGGCUCAACCUCGAGACGUCGGUUGAAACCGUAUGGCUAGAGUCCGGAAGAGGAGAGUGGAAUUCCCGGUGUAGCGGUGAAAUGCGCAGAUAUCGGGAAGAACACCCGUGGCGAAGGCGGCUCUCUGGGACGGUACUGACGCUGAGACGCGAAAGCGUGGGGAGCGAACAGG
rnacentral:rRNA from 1 species